GCGGCGGCGUCCGGACCCCGCUCCCACCGGGCUCUCGGGUCCCCGAGGGCGAGAGAGACCCCGAAUCCCGAGGUGGGCCGGGACCAGGGCGCGGCCGCACCCCCCACCCACCCCAGCGCGGGGCCGGGCCGUGGGAACGCCCUCCCGGAAUGAAGCGCUUCCCGGUGCCUUCAAGAGUUCUAAGCCCAGCGCCUUCGGAUUGGAAGACCCUCACCUCAGCUGCCUCCCCACUGCGUUUGGAGUUAACUUCUCUCAUUCCGCCUCAGUUUGAGACCUACUCCCCAAGAAGGCAAACGCCUUCACUUCUCGCUUCCUCCUCCCCACGCCUCCAUCUCCUGAGUCUCCGAAAUCCCCUCCCAUACUUUUACCCUGGGCUCCUAGGAGCCACCUCGCCCUCCCCCAAAACUCACUCCCUCCAGCCCGGGAACCCUAAUAUCCAUUCUGAUCAGCUCCAGGGCUAGAGGCCACCCUCCCUGUCCCCAGCUCAUCAGACCCAUCUCCUCUCCUCGAUUCCCUGGCUGAGACCAGCCAAGAAAGGGUCAAAGCUGGAGGCCAAGAGAGCCACUCCCCCCACACCCCCGAUCCCUGCUAGGGAUCUCAUUGGCACAGGAGCCCCUCCCUCCCAACUCACCUCCCACUCCUUCCCCCUUCUCUACCUUAAAUCCACCCUAUAUAACCCAGCGACAACCUAGAUGACAAACCCGUUGCUGCUCACCCUGACAUUCAUCCUUCAGUCAUCUACCUUUUAUUAAUGUGCACAGCAGCUCUGUGCGGCAUAACCCUGACCUCUGGAACGGUGCCCAUCCCCCUCUUCUCAAUAUACCUUCCCUCCCCCUCCCCCAAGCCACCCCACAUGUAAGAACAGUGAGAGACUCAAGUUAAUGGUUUCCUUGGGGACCUUCUGGGAACACUCAGCAGAAACCCAAGGGACAAAUGACAUUAUGCCCAAGCACUCUGAUGCAAGUUGGUACCUUCAUUCUUUCUACAAAUAUUUAUUGAACACCUGCGACCUGCCAGACAUCACCUUGAAUGCCGUAUUCCUAGCACUACCUUUGUGAAACUUGCUUUCUAGAGACAGAAGUUAGCUAACAAACAGGUAAAUAGAUAGGUAAAUAAAUAAUAUGUCAGAUGUUCGUACGUGCUGUGGAGACAGGAAGGGGGAUAGGGAGGUUAGGAGGCAUGGAGAAGAGGUUGAUAAGCAAUUUUAAAUCAGUAAAUUUAUAGGGAAGGGUGAUGUUUUAGCAAAGACUUGUAGGAAUGAGGUACAUUAAUCUACUAUUGUGAUCCAGAGCUCUCUUUUAAGAAGAAUGUCUGCAUCUCUUGAGUGCAAUAAUAAUAGAUAUACAUAAUUUGACUUUCAUUGCUCUAAAACUGUGGUUCCCAAACCCUAAUGUGCAUAAAAAAUCACCCAGUGAUUUUCAGUUGACACAGGAUGCCUGGGAGAUUUGAAGAAUGCAUUUUUUUUUUACAAGCGCCUCUAUCAGAUGAUGCCGAUAGCUGAGGUUUUCUCCAGACCACUCUUGAAGAAACAUUGCUUUAAAAUACACUGAAGAGUCUUCUAGAAUGACAACAACAACAAAAUUAAAGAUUAAAUU